rnacentral:misc_RNA from 1 species
UCCAUUUAUUUAUUAUCGGCAGUUUUCUUAUCUUAUAAAUUAAAUUUAUUUACGCAAAUAAGAAUAAGGGUUGCGCCCGUUAAUGGAGCCAACCAAACAUCUCAAAACACGAGCUAACGACAGCCAUGCAGCACCUGUCCAUUAUUCAAAUAUUUAAUACAAAAAAUAAAUAUUUUGUCUCUUAGAAGACUUAAACAAUGAUUCGAAGACUGGUAAGGUUUUGCGCGUUAUAUCGCAUUAAACCAGAUGCUCCACCGCUUGUUCGGACCUCCGUCAAUUCCUUUGAGUUUCAACCUUGCGACUUUACUACCCAGGCGGAAUGUUUACGCGUUAGCUUAAAUGCUGGAAUAUAUUUCACCCCAACACCUAACAUUCAUCGGUCAGGGCGUGGACUAC